rnacentral:lncRNA from 1 species
GAAUAUGUGGAUGAUUACAGAAAUUGCAGAGUCCUUCAAACAGAUAAAAAAGCAGCAGGAAAAUGUAAUGCUACAGGUAAGAAUUUGAAUUCUAAUUAAUUGAAAUGUAUGUGUAUUUAACUAUUACAUUUAUGUAAGUAACCAUUUUUAAAACAGACCAUAGAUCGGUCUUCAUAUUACUGCAAGAAGGUAACCCUUUGCCUAAACUUGCUUGAGAGAUUGGUCAAGCUAACUUAAUUGUAUUUUAUGAAGAAGUAUAUAGUAUAGAUCAAGGUGUUGCAGCAAAUGUGAUCUACUUGGAUGUUGCCAAGGCUUUUGGUAUGGUUCCACACAAUAGGUUAGUGAUUAAACUAAAAGAAACUGGUCUAGAUGAAAAUUCUUGUUCUUGGGUAGAACAUUGGCUUAAAGAUAGAGUACAAAGAGUUUUCAUUAAUGGUAAAUUUUCAACCUGGACAAAAGUGGUAAGUGGUGUCCCUCAAGGUUCUGUUCUGGGGUCCCUUCUUAUUAACAUUUUACACGCAUAGUACUGCCCACAGGGUUUUGCAGAACAACCAAUCAAUACGUACAAUACCCACGGACACUCCCACACAAAAUCUCUCCUCUGCCUGUGAUACAAUUACCUUACACAAUGGGUUUAAGUAAUUAUCACAGGCAGAGAAAUACAGUUUUUACACAUGUACUGUAACUUUAAAACUAUACAUGCAAUAUUCAUAAACAUUCAGCACACUUUAAUUAUAAACAUAGUCAAAAUUCAGCCAAUUCCAUCCAGGGGUUAAAAAGUUAGCUGGAAGUCCUUUUAUGACCGACUGCAAGCACAUUUUCAUGCCCAAAACAGUUCCAUAGAUUUGGGCUGCGCGGUCGGUCAAUUUCACACUGAAAAAAUGAAUCUUCGAAUUUGACUUAGUCUCUGCAGCUGAAAAUUCAGUAUAGGAGAAGGUAAGGGUCAGCGGUGUUCGUGGAACUGUGUAGCUGAUUUCAGUUCCAGGAAUUUGGAUCCCCACACCGCUGACCGCAUUUGAAUGAAAAAAGAUGGCGCCACCACAUGUUCAUUUGCGUGAACGGCGGCCACCCAGCGCUCGGCAAUUUAUCUACAGCAGGCUCCCAGCCUGGGAGGUAAAUUGCCUGCACACUUCCAGUUCUGGGUGGUCCGUCUGUGUGGUACUUAGUUCAGUAAGCCCCAUUUACUGAACUAAGUGGGAAAAGGGCACAAACAAAGUAUAUUAGGGGACAGGGGACACAGUCUUAAAGGGGCAUUGUUCCCAAAAGUCACAGUAUGUCCCCAGAUGGCUCUUAAAGGGCCAGUAGCAGCAAAAUAAAAUACAAUAUGCCCAAAUACUGUAUUUAAAGGGCCAAAUCUCCCAGGGACCAUAGUCAGCAGGCAGGAGGCGGGCAAACAGGCUUCUCCCAUGCCCAGUGAUGAGGUUGGUUUCACCACAGAAUGCACUAGCAAUUUAUACUGUAAAUGGUAGUAAGUUAAGGAUAAAAACACAUGAGAAGGAUUUGGAAAUUGUUAUAGACAAUAAACUAGGCAACAAUGUGCAAUGUCAAUCAUCAGUGGCUAAGGCCAGUAAGGUAUUGUCAUGCAUGAAAACAGGGUUUCUGGUAGGUCAAGGCAAGAGAGAUUCCAGGAGCCGUAGCUCCAGGAAAAACACAGACCUGUUCCGCUGAGAAUAUUGAGAUACUUGAUAUAAGCUGGGGACAGUGCAGAGAGAGGCGUUUGCUGGAAACUUGUGGAGGGACAGGAAGCCAGGGGAGUGUUAUAGUCUUUUAAUAAGUUUUAGCAGUGUUUUUGGUUGUAUCCGCUACACACAUCUUGAAUAUGCUGUGCAAUUUUGGGUACCUGUUCUAAAGAAGGAAAUGGUGGCUUUGGAAAUUAUAGAAAAAGUGCAGAGGCGGGUUACAAAAUUAAUGAAAGGAAUGAAACAUUCCUUUUUACCUAUGAAAAAGGUUAACAAAUGUUUAAUUUAGAAAAACAGUGCAUCAGAGGGGAUAUGAUUAGAGUUGAGAGAACCCGAACUGUAAAGUUUGGGUUCGUACUGAACAUUACGGUUUUUGGACCCCGGACACAAACACGGACAUUUCAGUGUAUGUUCGGGUUGGAGUUCGGUGUUCGGCGAUUUAAUGGCACGUUUUGAAAAGCUGCAGGGCAGCCAAUCAACAAGCAUUUGACUUGUGUGCCCUUAGAAGCCAUCACAGCCAUGCCUACUAAUGGCAUGGCUGUGAUUGGCCAGUGCAGCAUGUGAGCUAUCUACCAAAAGGCUGGAAGACCUAAAUUGGUCUUUCAGCCACAUUUACUAAUACUAAGUAAAGAUUACUUAGUAUUAGUAAAGUCAGCCCCUACUCGCUAUACCGCGAGCAGGGCCGUCUUUAACAUUGAUUGGACACUGGGCAGGCAUUUGUUUGGGCCCCCUGGAUCCUGCCAUCCCUCGCCCUCCCCCCACACUUUCACUCUCUGGCAUGCAAUCACGCCCUCCACCCCAACACAGUGGCAGAACUAAUGUAGACAGGGCCCUGGUGCAAGACAUUGUUUUAAGCCUUCCCUCUAGCGCAAGAGCAGAGAAAAGAUAGAUCCUCAUCUGUUGUACAAUUCCAACGAUGCUAUGCCAGCUGGGGAUCUACCAUUUGUCCAUUUUUGCAGGGCUGUAUUUGUGAGCAGUGUUUGUGCAUUUGAAUGUGAGCAUGUUGUUGUAUACAGUAUGUGUGUGCAUGUAGGGUGUAGUAUUGGUGUUUAAGUGUAGGGAUGUGUUUCCAUAUACUUUUUGAGUUUGAAUUCAGGGGUGUGUUUGUAUGUAAUGUUUGCAGGGGUGUGGUUGCAUGAUGUGUUUGAUUGCCGUGAUGUAUGAAUGUCAACAUUCACAGAUAUACAUACACAUUAGCACACUGAUACAUGCACACAUCUGGACACACUGACAAAGACUGGCGUAUACACACACAGCCACAUACAUAAAUACACGUGCACACACAGAGAUAAAAACACUGGCACAUCCACACACAGAGAUACACACUUACACACACUGACACAGAUAUAUACACAAAUACAUAUGUAUUUGUGUGCAGUGUUGGCGUAGGAAUGCAGGGAUGUAUGCAUUGUCACACAGAUGCACUCACACACAAACAGUGAUACACACAGGAACACAGAUACACAUGCAGUGGUGUAUUUGUGUGCAUUGUUAAUGUUGGAAUGCAGGGUUGUAUUUGUGUGCAAUGUUAGCUGGGAUGUAUGCAUUGCCACACGCACAGAUACACACUUACACAUACUGACACUCAUACACACACAGGUACAUAUACACAGACAAGCAGGUACACAUACAAACUGACACAUAGGUAUACAUACACACAGAUACACAUAAACACUGACACAAAGGUACAUGUACACUGACACAAACACAGCCAUAUAAACACACACUGACACAAACAGCCAGAUACACACUGACACACACAGCCAGAUACACACUUACACACACAGUGUCAGAUACACACACACACACACAGUCAGACACAAACGCAGCCAGAUACAAUCACAGCCAGCCAGAUACACACACACACAGUGAGAUAUACACACAGUGAGAUAUACACACACACAGUCAGAUACACACACAUACAGCCAGAUACACAUGCACACAGUCAGAUACACACACAGUCAGAUAUCCACACAUACAGCCAGAUACACACACAGUCAGAUAUACACACAUACAGCCAGAUACACACACACACACAGUCAGAUACACACACAGUCAGAUAUACACACAUACAGCCAGAUACACACACACACACACAGUCAGAUACACACACAGUCAGAUAUCCACACAUACAGCCAGAUACACAUACACACAGAUACACAUACACACAGUCAGAUACACACACACAGCCAGAUACACACACAUACAGCCAGAUACACACAUACACAUACAGCCAGAUACACACACACACUGACACAAACACACACACACAGAGUCAUAUGAAUUCACAUAGUUUAGCCACCCUCCUUACCUUUACAGAAGUGUGGCUUCCCUGUGGUCCAGUGGGAGCUGGAUGGCUGAGAUUGAUGGGAGUCUUCUUCUUCUUGGUCUGUACCUCCUCCUGCUCUCCAUGUAUGCCUCCUCCUCCCCAGCGGCACUCUGUUAAUUGGGAGGAAGUGACCUCACAACACUUCCUCCCAGCAGGCAGGAAGACAGGGGCUCGGUCUGCAGCUCUCUUAAAGGGCCGGGGCCCCUGAUUACAUCACCUGCUGCAGCCCACCGGGAUAUUUCUCAGUAUCCCGGUGGGCUGUUCAGACCUGGCUGCGGGCAGGGGGCCCACAGGGCAGCUACUUUGGGCCCCCCAGGAUCAACUGGGCCCGGGGCAGCUGCCCUGUUUGCCCCUUGUUAAAGACGGCCCUGACCGCGAGUAUGGGCAUGUCUAGUCAACAUUGAGCAGCCAGUGGCUGCUCACUGAAAAAAAUAAAAAAAUAAAUAAAAACCUAUUGGCCCCCACCCCUGAACAGAGGGUGGGGGCCCUAAAGUAAAAUAAGGGGGGGGACCUAUUGUCCUCCCCUCCGGCCCCCAUCCCUGAGCGGCGGGUGGGAGCCCUAAAUAACAAUGAGGGGGGGAAUCUACUGUCCUCCCCCCCCGGCCCCCACCCCUGAGCGAUGGGUGGGGGCCCUAAAUAAGAAUGAGGGGGGGGACCUAUUGUCUUCCCUCCCGGCCCCCACCCCUGAGUGGUGGAUGGGGGCCCUAAAUUUAGAAUAAGGGGAGGACCUGUUGUCCUCCCCCAUGGCCCCCACCCCUGAGCAGUUGGUGGGGGCCCUAAGUUAGAAUAAGGGGGGACCUAUUGUCCUCCCCCCUUUCCCCCACCCCUGGGUUGUGGGUGUGGGCCCUAAAUAAAAAUGUAAACCCCCCCGUCAUCCCCCUCCCCCCAAGAAAUAACCCCUACCUACCACCUUCAUCCUAAAAAUAAUGAGACGAGACCAUAAGCUAGAUACCUUUAAAAAAAAAAAAUAAUAAUAAACUUACCAUUUGAUGUAAUUUGGGUAUUUUUUGUUGGGUGGAGGGGACCCCUAGUCACCUUGGGGUGGGGGGGUUUAAAUUUUUAUUUAGGGCCCCCACCCGCCGCUCAGGGGUGGGUGCCAGGGGGGAGGACAAUAGGUCCCCUUUAUUCUAAUUUAGGGCCCCCACCAACUACUCAGGGGUGGGGGCAAGGGGGGAGGACAAUAGGUCCCCCCUUUAUUCUAAUUUAGGGACCCAACCUGCCACUCAGGGGUGGGAUCUGGGGGGAGGACAAUAGGUCCCCCCCUCAUUCUUAUUUAGGGCCCCCACCCAUCGCUCAGGGGUGGGGGCCGGGGGGGAGGACAGUAGGUCUCCCCCCUCAUUCUUAUUUAGGGCCCCCACCCACCGCUCAGGGGUGGGGGCCAGGGUGGAGGACAAUAGGUUCCCCCUUAUUGAUAUUUAGGGCCCCCACCUGCCGCUCAGGGGUGGGGUCCUGGGGGGAGGACAGUAGGUCUCCCCCCUCAUUCUUAUUUAGGGCCCCCACCCACCGCUCAGGGGUGGGGGCCAGGGUGGAGGACAAUAGGUUCCCCCUCAUUCUUAUUUAGGGCCCCCACCCGCCACACAGAGGUAGGGGCUGGGGCGGAGGACAGUAGGUCCCCUCCUCAUUGUUAUGUAGGGCCCCCACCCGCCGCACAGGGGUGGGGGCUGGGGGAGAGGACAGUAGGUCCCCCCGUCAUUCUUAUUUAGGGCCCCCACCCACCGCUCAGGGGUGGGGGCCAGGGGGCGGACAGUAGGUCCCCCCUCAUUGUUAUUUAGGGCCCCCACCCACCGCUCAUGGGUUGGGGCCGGGGGGAGGACAAUAGGUCCCCCCCUUAUUUUACAUCAGGGCCCUCAUCUGCCGUUCAAGGGUGGGGGCCAAUAGGUUUUUUUUUUGUUUUUUGUUUUUUUACAGGCUGCUCACUGUUUACUAGACAAGCCCCUACUCACGGUAUAGCGAGUAGGGGCUGAAUUUACUUAUACUAAGUAAUAUUUACUUAGUAUUAGUAAAUGUGGCUGAAAGACCAAUUUAGGUCUUUCAGCCUUUUGGUUGAUAGCUCCCUAAUUCCUUGGGAAUUAGGGAAUUAUCUACAAAGCGGCUGCUUAUUUUAUGUUAUUUGCAGUUAUUUCCCUAUCCUACUCUUACCCCCAUUUUACUUCAUUUUGCAGCCCUCUAGCCCUUUCCAGGACUUUUUUAGAGGCAUUUUAGUGCCGAAAAGUUCGGGUCCCCAUUGACUUCAAUGGGGCUCGGGGUCAAGUUCGGGUCAAGUUCAAGCCUGAACUCGAACUUUUUGCCGAAGUUCGGCCAAACUCGGUGAACAUCCAGGUGUCUGCUCAACUCUAGAUAUGAUAACAUUAUACAAAUAUAUCUGAGUCCAAUACAAACCACUGUCUGAAAGUCUAUUCACAAACAGGACUAUGCAUAGAACACAAGGUCAUGCCUUUUUUUACAGUAAAAAACAAUAAGGAUGUGGAAUUCUCAUCAGAGUCUGUUCAGAUGUUUAAACAUCAACUAGAUUCAUGCUUGCAAACACAUUAUUCAAUUAUAUCAGUAUUCAAUUGUAAGGUAAUAGCUUCUUGGAAGCACGUCAAACUGUUUUUUUGCCUUCGUUUGGAUCAACAGUAAAACAGAAAAAAACAGAUGUCAGGAAGGUUAAAAUUUAUGGAUAAUUUUCAGCCUAUGCAACAAUGUAAAAAACAAACAAACAAUACAAUACUAUCACCACAAAUACGUGAAGAAUAGUAAAUGGUAAGUAAACAACAUACUUAUCUAAACAAGUCAAGUAGACAGCCUCCCGAAGAUCACCUCCCAGGUGGUGAUCCUAUUAGACAGAAUAUAAGCAACAAACGUAUGGGAUACGGUGGUGAUUCUAAAAAGAAGUUACGAAUAUCAGUUUGAAGGUCUCUAUAAUUUAUAUAGUCAUCAUCAUCUCCUGAGAUCAUAUUCAGAAUUAACAUUAACCUGGAAUACUUUUUACAGGAAGGACUGUUAAUUUUACAUCUACUUGUAACUUGUUUUUGAUUUUAUGGUCUCUUAGGAAGUUACAAUUGUGGAACGAAACGCGUAAGACCAAUACUAUUGCUGUUUUAAUAACAUUUCCACUGGUGUUAUUUCACCAUUUUUUUACAAUAAAAUAACCAUUUUUCUAUACAUUUCCAUCUGGAGUCCUCUUUUUCCUGCUAUACACGCAGACCAAGGAGAAAGGAUUCACAGCCCCCCACUACAUCAGGGGAGGCACCCAGUGAGCACUUUAAACGUCUACAUUUUGUGAGUGCAACCAUUUAUAGCGCACAUUUAAUUGUUUUAACUGUGUAACACUAUGUUAUGUUUAUGUUCUUUUUAGAAUCACAGCCAUAUCCCAUACGUUUCUUGCGUAUAUGAAAUAAUAAUAAUUCAUUUAUUUAAUCAUGUAUGGCCUGAACCAAGAAGACUGCAGUGUCUUGCAUUAUUCAGUAUGCUUUCCCUGCUGAUUGUUCACAGUGUGAUAAAUUCCCCCAUGUUCAUUUUGUUCUUAGGAAAAUAGUUUAUCUCUUAUAUUGCUUUCUCUUGCAUAAGCAAUAUCGUAAGUUUAACUCUUUGUUAUAACUAUGGCUCAUAGUAGUUAAUAAGCAAUGUAGUACAUACUAAAUAAUAGAUACUAUACAAAUAUUACUCAUAAACAAGAGACUAUAUAUCUUCAGAGCUGAAACAACCCAAAAGAGAGUCUAUCUAUAAAAAAAGAAGAAAUGCACUUACAAUAUGUAGACUUCCAGUAAGCUCUACUUAAAAGCACCUGGGUGUGACGAGACCACUCUCGCCACAUUGCAUUGGAGAAGCCUGGUUGCCUGCCUGCCUGCCUGCCUGCCUGCUGCCUUUUGACUAUGGACCUGCAUUUAAAUACUUUAUUUUCCUAUGCAGAAAGGUCUAUUCCUGUAUUUCUGCCCUGGCGCUCAGUAUAUUCUCGGAUUUACUGAAUUAACUCAUUUAACCCAGAUAGCUAUGCCAUGGAGCCUAUUCGUGUAAUAAAAGACUUUGGCUCCAUGGCGAUUGAACUGUAUGUGUGUGUGGUCUGAGCACCAUUCAGUAUUAAUGUGCGCUCAGACCUAAGCUAUCUGGGCAUAUGUUGCAUGUCUGUAUUUUGUCAUAAAUGUAACCUUGUGUAUUUUAUUCUAUUUUACUGUCUUUUUACUGCCAUGUGCUUAAUGGAGUUUUGCCUCUGUCCUUGGAGAUAAUUGGAUUUCUUCCCAAUUAUCUCCAGGAUAGAAGACUCUGUGGUACUGGUUUUGGGCAGAAAAGCCAUGCUUCAUUUGGUCACAAAGGACUUCGAUCUAUCACAGGCAGAGGGGGGGUGUAUUGUAUGUGUUUAUUGGUUGUUUUCCAAAACCCUGUGGGUGGUACUAAUGUGUAUAUAAGAACAAUAAACCCACAGCUCUGUUUGACCACUGCUUGACCCUCAACACGGAGCCUUGUCUCGUCUUUGGGGGGGGAUUUACUGUAUGCUGAUAGAGACUGAUUGCUAGGAGUGUAAGCCGCUUGGGUGCUUUUCCUAUUCGUCUGCUAGCAGCUAUUUGUGAGGUUCCAGGUCGGGAGUUUGGAGUGCUAUUUUGUAUGCAGUUCGGGAGUUUGGAGCAUUCCUUUACAUGCGGUUCGGGAGUUUGGUGUUCUGCAGUAGCUGUGCCUGUAUAUCUGGAAGGGGAAGAUCUCCUAAACGGCGGUUUAACCCUUUAAUGCUGAGGGUGCCGUUACACUGGGCUAUAUGAUUCCCGCCUCUAGAUAUAGUGUGAUUAUCUUAGUCCGAUAAUGGAUGGUCCAAUGUUUAUAAAAUGUAAACAGAAUAAAUGCUAACAUAGUGUAGUAUUCAGAUAACACAGAUGUGGUUUAUAUUUACAUGAAAUGCACUCAUAUUUUAUAGAGCCCGUAAGUGGCUCCCAGCAAAUAGUGUAGAGUAGUAUAAUCUCCAGUUUAUAGAUAUAUCUUGUGAUGGUGGUCUUCAACAUGACAAUAUGGAAUAGAAUACUAUCUAUCUAUCUAUCUAUCUAUCUUUCUAUUAUCCAGGUGUCAGACACAAAAUGUAGGAUGGUCCAGGAAAGGUUUACAAUAAUAUUGCUUAAAAUUAGAUAUGAAUUAAAAAAAAAGCAUUAACAUUUUGCAUUAUUGCAUGGGCUUUAUCAGAGUGUAUUACAGAAACCUGGACAAGAUCUGCUUUUAUAGCUGGGAAAAAAAUAAUAUUCUUGGUCAGGUGGUCAUGGUCAAAGUCACGUAACUGCAACUAUUUAACAUACAGAAUACAUAAUAUUGAAUGAUAAACAAUUGUGUAAGAAAUAGAGAUUAAAAUAUAAAUAAUAGAGACUAAGAAUAUAUAAUAUUGUUCGUGAUAUCAUAUUUUUAUAUUAUAUUCAUGGGAAUUUGGUUUGGGGGAGUUGUAGCUUUUUAGUGCUAUUACAUGGAAUACAUGAAUUACAGGGACCAUGAGUACUGAACCUCGGGCUCCCACAGUAGACCAUCUGGGACCCUUUCUAGACUGCCAGGGAAUAUAAUUAGUGAUAAUGUUGUUACACUUAAAAUGAGCAAUUGCACAUUAAAUACCAUUUUGGUAUUGUUAUCUAUAUGAUUCCGCUAGUCCUUGCGAUUGAAUGAUACUACACCCCUUACAUAGUGUCACUAUGUUGUAUGUUGUAUUGGAGUCAUUUUUCUAUCCUUAGUACUAAAAGAAGAAAGGAGGGAAGAUGCUUGAAAAGGCAUAUCACCUGGAGACUGUGCACCCCAACUCUGAAGUUAUGCAGACCCAUUUAUUUUUAAUUAAUUAAUUAAUUAAUCAAUUAAAUAAGUAAAUACAGAUAAGUUUCUAGCACUAAUUAUUUAGGUAAAGGAGGCAGCUGAAAGCAAAAUCUCUUUUGUCCAGGUCAGAAAAAGGAUGUCAACAGACAGAAGGAGCAGCACCUAGGGUGGUUCUCAGGAGUGUGUCAAAUAUAAAACGAGAAUGAACAUGGAAUACAAGACUGUAUAGUGUAGUAAGUUUGUGGUAUAUAUAAAAGAAAAAGAAGGAAUGCACUUACAAUAUGUAGUACUUCCAGUAAUACCUACUUAAAAGUGCCUGGAAAAUAUGAUUUCUGCCUAUGCAUAUGUUAUGCUACUUGGGAUUGCUGGCACUUUGAGAAUCAAAUGAAGUUUUAAUAAUUGUUAAACUUAACGAAUUGCAUUUAGGCAAUAAUCCAAUAAGAAUAAGUGAAAGUCAUUAAACAACACAAAGUUCAUCAAUAAGUAUUUCCUCAGAGAUAUAUUAAAUAAGAUUCAUUAGGUUGCUAGGAAUAAUCUUCAAUAAUGAUAUUUAGCAGGUAGCAAAGUAUUUGCAAAGCAAGAAACAGUUCCUAGUGAUUAAGCUUGAUGGGAGUUGUCCUCCAUAUAAUUAGUAGCUUGAAGCAGAGAAGUUUUAAGCAAGCUGUAAAUAGUUAAUCAAUAAAUGAGGUAGCAGAGAAUAGCUGAAAAGUAUAUUUAAGGUUAAGGUGAGUUAUCCUCCAAGAGUUCAAAGUUAUAGUCCACUUGAUAAUUAGCAAGUAUCAGUUCUCCAGUAAUCCUCGUUGGCAUGCAGUAUCAUCCAUGCAUUAGUUCAAAGGCUAGGACGGCUUGUCAGAGUCUAUGGAGCCGGCAUGUAUACCAGGAAGUCGGUCCCACAUUGUCAGAGCCUCGGGAGCCGGCGAGUAUGGCGGAAGUAGGUCACAUAUUGUCAGAGCCUCGGGAGCCGGCGAGUAUGGUGAAAGUAGGUCACACAUUGUCAGAGCCUCGGGAACCGGCAAGUAGAGUGGAAGUAGGUCACACAAUCACCAAGCGCCCUCUCUCUGGCGCGGACUGCUUAAGUACAGUCAGAGUCGCGUCAGAAGUGUUACCGCAUGACAGCAUAUGGCAUGAGUAUCUUGGUCUGAUGGAGGAUGGUCCCACUGAACCACCAAGGACCCAGGAAAAUCCACUAGUAAAGCUAGGAGACAAAAGUGGGGCAAAACAGAGCAACACUGCAUACAGCUAGCAAACCCCACAGGCACACAUUACAUACAGUCAGCACACAUCAAUAGAAAUACAUUAUUUAUAGCCACCACACAACGUACAGUCCCCCAAAAAUAUUCUACACACACAUUAUGUACAGCCAGCACAUGCACACACAUUACAUACAGGCAGCAAACACCACAUACAUUACAUGAAUACCUACAUCACACACCACACGCAUUACAUACAGACAGUAAACAUUAAUUACAGGCAGCACACACUGUGACGGUAGUCUCCAUCACCAGGAGCUUCAGACAGACUAUUUAUGUAGGUCCCUGGACUAUAUAUUAUGUUUCGGUCACCCUGUGCCUAUUAUAGGUGCAGGGUGUUUGUAAAAUACUUAGUGUUCAGUGUUAUGUGUUAGUGUGCUCUCCGGUCUUGCUAAUGCUUGCAAUCAGCCAGGUGGAUUUGACUGUGGAGCCUGUACAGCACCAACUGUUGGUUGCAAGGAAAUAGCCACAGCUGUAUACACUACGUGAAUAGCAAGAAUUGCUAAUGUGCAUAUUCAGGUAGAUUUGCAUAUUGUGAAUUCUGUGUUAAAUAUUGUCUUCCCCACCCCUUUAUAAAUAUGUCAUUGUAUUAUAAUAAGUUGUUGUAUGUUGUCUGCUAUGAUGUGGUUAUUUGUAUUUUAAUAAAGUUGUCACAGUAAUCUAAGUCUAAUGAACAUAUGGGCUAGUCAGACCUGUUGGCCUGAGAGCUUGAAGCUCUGGGACACGGCACUCCUGUUUAAGAGGAUAUAUUUCAACUGAUAAUGUCCAACUACAAGACAAUGAGCCAAGGUUCAAUGAAAGCAACCUCAGGAGGAAUGGUUAUUCAAAUUGAAAAUGCUGGUCCAGGAGGAAGUGAAACUGGACAACUGGUACCGUGCUCUGUAGUGGCACGCAGAGCAGGAAUAUUUAUGGUUGGAGAGUGACUGGUUCCCGGAGGGCCAUGGCUUUGGCUGCCCAGGACUAUUAUGGGAUAAACUCCAGGAUGCUGACUUGUUUACAGAAAGGAGGUACUAUUCGCUGUGGAAGAAACACAAACAUAGAGCACCAAUACUUGAUCAUGUGCAAGCCCUGAUGUGUGACCUGGAUUAUCUGGCCAAACAAGAGUGGAAGAAAAACACAAAUAUAUGUGCACACAAACCAAAGGUGCAAUCAGUGCCAAAUAAGGUACAAGCAGAUAAAAACUUCCCUGUACAAGAUGAUGCUUUCAAUGGUAUCCCCAAAGACUUCCUCCUGUCUUCCAUUAAAUAUAUGCAAAAAAUAGGGGAUGAUCGGCUAAACCAAUUGUGGCAAACCUAGAUAUUUAAGACUAUUCUUUUAUGUAUAAUGGUUGUCCUGGAGAGACUGUGUGAUAUCUAGCUUAUUUUAAGUGUUCGCUUAAAUAUGGGAUAGAGGGCAUUCGUAUGCUAGUGGUGCGAAAGACGCUAGCAUUCCAAUAGUAGUUUCACGAACAGUGACUUUCAACACUGUUCGUGAAACGAACAAAGUACCGAAUGGGAGACCACACACAGGAGGUCAUGUGGCUCCCAUUAACAGAUUGCAACAAUGUAUCUUUCCCCGGUUAAUUGAUUCGCAGGGUGGCCGCCGUUCGGAUACCAACCAUGCGGCGGAGGCCAUCUUGGAUUCACUUGUAGCCCAGCGGUGUUUGGUCGUAGAGUGCCUGGAACUAAAAUCGGCUACUCGACAGCAUGAACACCGCUGGACUUCCAGACCGUUCAGGACCACCGGUCUUUCGGUACUUCCAAUCAAACUGUUUGUUCGUGUGUUUUCUUAUGCGUUCAUAUUAAAGUAUAUUUAAUGUGGCAUUCGGCUAAUUGUGCUGGGAUCUGAGCGGUAGUUUCCCGAAGUAUGCGCUCAGAUCCCAGCUAUCUAUCUAGAUGUCAUUUGGUUAAAUAGCAAGGGAUAAUCCACUUAACAGGAUAUUCUUAUGGGAGUAUCCCUCUCGUACAGCAGUGCAUGGUGGGAAAAUGGUCCUGUAUGUUCAGUUCCCUAUGUAGUCCCCUACUGUACAACCCCUGUAAAGUGAUUAAGGAAAUCCCUUGCAUGGGGAACCAUAUAAAUACUGUGACCUGUGAAUAAAACUUCAGUUGACUCCUAGAACUGUGUUUCGUCCGGUUACUGUGGAAAUUGGGAUAUUGCCUUCAUUCAGCGCUUUUCUUGGAUUACUUUAUUUUACCAGCGGAGAUAUUGGGAUUUAAUAUUGCAGCUCCGCUACACCAAUAACAAACAAAAAGACUUAGCGUAUAACUGUGUAUAUGAAUUAACUGUAAGUGCUGCGUUUCGCAAAUGGCCACUCACACUUUCACUGAAGUAGAACUGUCUAAAGUAUAAAAUCCUUCCAGGGAUUCAAUCUUCAGUCUGUAUUCAAAUCACCACAGGUUGGCUGGAGUAUAUGUCCUCUAAGGAGAGAAAAUAAAAGUUGUAGUGCACAAUCGGUAUGUAAUAAAAAAAGAAUUAAUCAUUUACAUCAAGGUUAAAAACAAUGGGUGUAGUAUCUCUGAGUCACCACCAGGGGUCCUACACUUUUCGUCCCUCUGCAGGACUUCCUCAGGGUAUUUGACAGUGUGCAGUAACAAGUUUCAAGUACAAAUUGAUAUUCAAAUGAAUAAGUCCCUGGCCUUAUCUUAAAUCUAGGAGCGAUACAACUUCUUUGGAUGAUAUGCACCUCAAAAAAUAUAAAAACAGAGAAAACACAAUAAUAGUGAAGACUGUUUACACAGAAUAAGAAGCAAAUGUCUUCCCACUAUAUCCCUUUGGAUCUUCAUUUACAAUGCUUAGAGCCUUACACCUGGCUCCAAUUUAUAUGCCUUGGAGUCUCUUUUUGAGGGACUUCUUUCCUCUUGUCUCUGGUGAUAUUGACUUCAAAGAACAAAGAUUGAUAACAAGAUCUAGUGCAAUACAUCCUGACAAUAUAGCAGUAUAAAAGAUAUAAAUUACCAUGGCACUCACAUGUUAUAGAGCCUUUCAAUAGGCUAUGCAAUGUGCCUGAUUCUGAGGGGGGCGCCACGCUUAGGUUUCGAUGCAAGCAUUCUCCACCAAUCCAGAUGCAGAUAAUGGAUAUUUUAUUAAAUCAAAUGAUUAAAAAAGAUAUACUUUUAAAAUUUGCAAUACAUGAAUAAAUCAAAGUCAACGUGAUUUAUUGCUAAUUUUAAAAAUAUAUCUAUAUAUAUUUUUUUUCUUUCUUUUUACAUCAGAACAUGGUAUUAGUUAUUUAAUUUCUUGCGGAGUCAUAGAUAGAAUAAUCGAAUACCAGAUCAUCAUAUGUAUUGUUCAUUCUCUCUUACUCUAUCUGUCCUUAUCUAGUUAAUUUCUAUUUCUUCCUUUUAUUUCAUCUUAAUAUUAUUACAAGUCUUUCUUCCUUUCUCUUUCCCUUUUUUUUUUUUUAAUACCUUCAAAUACAUGACAAACUAACAAACUAAGUGGCACACAUACAUAAAACAUUUGCUCGAUUCGUGGUGCGAAAAAUAAAAUAAAAAAAUUAAAAAUUAGAUAUAUACCACAGAAAAAAUCCGGCUAGAGGGGAGCCUCACUAUCUAGGUUCUAUUCUUUUAAUCCAUUUAUCCCAGUAUAUGUAUUGAAGUCCCUUAUUUGGUGCAAAAUUAGUAAUGGUCCUUUCCAUUUUACAUUGGGUAAUACUUUGCACAUGUAUCGUAUCCCAAUUAUCUACCAUACAAGAUUUCCAAUUCCUAGCUAUUGAGGUUUUAACAAAUAAUAUAUAUUUUUUAAUCAUUGGAUUUAAUAAAAUACCUUUUAUGUGCAUCUGGAUUGGUGGAGACUGCUUGCAUCUGAACCUAAGGGUGGCAUGCCUCUCAGAAUCAGACACCAUGCAGCUAAAAUAGAGCCUAUUGAACUUUCAUACUGCUAUAUUGUCAGGACGUAUUGCACAAGAUCUUGUUAUCUGUCUUUGUUCAUGGAGGUCAAUAUCACCAGAGACAAUGUUGUGACUACUGAAGAGUUAAAAAAAAUAAAUAAAAUCAGCAAUUUUGGCUUCCAUUUUUUUCCAUUCAGAUUUGAUUUGUGAGUUUCAAGUUUAGCAAAUAGUUGUCAACGUCCAGGGCUCUUGGCAGGGUUUUGAUAUAAUUGAACAUUUCAGACACCGUAAAAACUUUUGGAAUCAAGUUUUUCAUGUGAAGCAGUUACCAUGGAAACCAAUUACAUGUUCUUGCUAAUUGCUCAGUAUUGAUGACUCUGCAUCAAAAUUACUUCUACUUCAUUUUCUUGAUAUUUUAUAUUCUGUUUUUAAAUGUCUGUCUUAACAGUUGCAGAGAAUAAUUCUACACCUGGAAGAGUUACUGUGAUCUUAAAGGUUCUACUAAUAAUAAUGUUCCUGUUCUUGAUAGCUCUGACAAUCCUUGUGUUCCUGUUCUGUGAGUAUGAAAUACACUAUGCUGGGGCAAUUAGGAUUGCAUGUCAGUUAAUUAAUAUAUUAAGCAAUGUAUAUAAAUAUAACAAAAUGUGUCAACAGUGCUACUUUGAAGGACACUCAUGUAUGGGUAUCCUAGGAAUCCUCAGUCUAACAUUCAUAAUUUAUUCCUGUGGCUUUAUACCCUUGAGUAGAUGGGUUACUACCAAUUAGGUUGUCCUUUUCCAGUGAAUAUAGCUCCAGAGUGAUUAUGCUCUCCUGCAAGAUAUACCGUUGUCUCACUACCCAAGACUUAGUGAAGGGUUAGGAAGGACUGUUUUUAUUGAACUAAGCACACAGAUGUAUAGUCAGACUCCCAACAUGGGGUCUCCAUUUAUUGUGAUAUAAGCCUGCACAUGCGCCUCGGUGUCUGGGAGAUAAUUGUGUCAGCUCUCGGUCAAACUCAUUAUCUCCCAGAUACAAAGACACCCAGAACACACAAACACUAUAGCAGAACACCCCCACAUGUCAUAUAUGUUCAGAAAGGCCUCUCUGGAGCUCCCAUUCUGUCAAAAAAGCAGAUGAGACUAGCCAGAAUAAGAUGGAAGUGCAAAAGUUUAGAGGAAUGCGGCUAGCCUCGGAUCUAGCUCAGAGUUCCAGAGUGCUUGGUAGAGUGCUGGUCAUGUCUCAGCAGCCCCCUCAGUGGCUCUGGCUGCAUGGCAUGGGAUCUGGGCUGGGAGGCAUGGGUUGGAGGGUAAGUCCAUAGUGUUUAUAGUCUUUUGAGAACAGGUGGGUGUUUGGGGGAACAUGGCUUAGAGGGUCCCUCACACUUCCACUAAACUAAAAUUAGUUAUUAUUGUCAACUAAGUAAAAUUCUUCAAUAUUUGAGAUGAAAAUUAACAAUUAUGAAUAAAUUGAUGAUGAUAAAAAAAAGAAAAGAAAAAAAAACUCCUCUUCACUACCUGAGAUUAUUGGGAGUUACAGUCCCUAGCUGCCUGUAUUUUAGCUUUUGUCGAGUACCAAUGGAACCUGCAACCCAUGAGUAUAACUCAUACUAAUGAAGGGCAGAGCAGAAUAUGUAUGUCCUGGUUCUUAAACUGUGCUUGAUUUUCACCCUUUAUCAAGGCUUGACUGAUGUUUGGCAAAAAUGCUAAAUUGUCUAUUCAGGGAACUCUGACUAGAAUGGGAACUAGAAGAAUGUAAACAAAUGAGAAAUUCAUUCCUGCUUCUUAUAUUUGACAGAAUCCUUCAUCCAUACACAUGCACCUUGGAUCAGACAGUGUUUAAAAACUGACAUUUUGUCUCCAUGAACUUUAGCACAGAAGCAGGGAGUGAGGCAAAAGACUAACUGUUGGUUUUCGAACACUGUUUGAUUCACGGUGUUUGUAUAUGGCUGAAGAAUCCUGUCAUAUACAAAAGGUAAAGAUAAGUUUCUCAUUUGCUUACUUAUACUUUACGUUGUAAUGGAGCUCCCAUAGUCAGACUGAGUACCUCAAAUUUAUACACCACACCGCCCACCAAAAAAAAGCAAACUGUAUAUUGAUUACCUAGUCUCACAACCAGGGUCAUCUUUAAUACUGAUUGGAGCCUGGGCAAGCUUGGUCAAGUAUUUGUUUGGGCACCAUGUUUGCUGCCCCUGCCCCUGACUCCCUGGCAUGUAAUCACAUCCUCCACCCCAGUGCAGUGGCAGAACUAAAGUGGAGAGCACCCUGGUGCAAGAAUUUUUAUUUUUGGGGGACGUCUUCCCUCUUGUCUAUGGUGAUAUUGACCUCAAAGAACAAAGAUUGAUAACAAGAUCUCGUGCAAUGCAUCCUGACAAUACAGCAGUAUAAAAGAUAUAAAUUACCAUGGCACUCACGUGUUAUAGAGCCUUUCAAUAGGCUAUGCAAUGUGCCUGAUUCUGAGGGGGGGUGCCACCCUUAGGUUUCAAUGCAAGCAUUCUCCACCAAUCCAGAUGCAGGUAAAAGGUAUUUUAUUAAAUUCAAUGAUUAAAAAAGUAUACUUUUAAAAUUAGCAAUACAUCAAUAAAUCAAAGUCAAAGUGAUUUAUUGCUAAUUUUAAAAAUAUAUAUUUUUUAAUCAUUGGAUUUAAUAAAAUACCUUUUAUGUGCAUCUGGAUUUGUGGAGACUGCUUGCAUCUGAACCUAAGGGUGGCAUGCCUCUCAGAAUCAGACACCAUGCAGCUAAAAUAGAGCCUAUUGAACUUUCAUACUGCUAUAUUGUCAGGACGUAUUGCACAAGAUACAAGGUCUUUGUUCUUGGAGGUCAAUUUCACCAGAGACAAUGUUGUGACUACAGCAGAGUUAAAAAAAAAAAAAAAUCAAAUCAGCAAUUUUGGCCUCCAUGUUUCCAUUCAGAUUUGAUUUGCAAGUUUUAAGUUUAGCAAAUAGUUGUCAACGUCCAGGGCUCUUGGCAGGGUUUUGAUAUAAUUGAACAUUUGAGACACUGUAAAAACUUUUGGAAUCAAGUUUUUCAUGUGAAGUAGUUACCAUGGAAACCAAGUAAAAAAUUACUUAGUAUUAGUAAAUUUUGCCUCUACAGUAGGUCCCCCCCUUAUUCUAAUUUAGGGCUCCCACCCACCGCACAGGGGUGGGGGCUGGGGGGGGACAAUAGGUCCCCCCUUAUUGAUAUUUAGGGCCCCCACCCACCGCUUGGGGUGGGUGCCCGGGUGGAGGACAGUAGGUCCCCCCCAUUCUAAUUUAGGGCCCCCACCCACCGCUCAGGGGUUGGGGCCAGGGGGGAGGACAAUAGGUCCCCCCCUUAUUGGUAUUUAGGGCCCCCACCCACUGCCCAGGGGUGAGGGCCAGGGGGGAAGACAAUAGGUCCCCCCCUUAUUCUUUAGGGCCCCCGCCCACCGCUCUGGGGUGAGGGCCAGGGGGAGGACAAUGGGUCCCCCCUCCCUUAUUUUACUUUAGGGCCCCCACCCGCCCCCACCUACAUAAAUAGUCUGUUUGAAGGUCCAGGUAAUGGUGACUACCGUCACAAGUACUGUCUAGCAUUUUCAAGGCUUUGGAUAUCUUUUCUAACUUUUUCCAUCUUUAUAAAGUUCCAUUACCUUGUUACACAGGUCUUUCUGCUCCCCAUGGUUCAGUAUCUAGCCUGCUCAAUGCAUCCACAUGAGAUCUAACAAACUCAUUGACUAUUUAUACACAGACACUAAUUGCAAUUUAAAAAGCCACAGAUGGCGAGAAUUAACCUUUAAUUGCCAUUUUAACCUAAGUGUGUCACCUUGUUUGUCUGUAACAAGGCCAAACAUUCAAGGGUAUGUAAACUUUUGAUCAGGGCCAUUUGGGUGAUUUCUGAUAUCAUUAUGAUUUAAAAAGGAGCCAAGCAACUAUCUGAUAAUAAUUUGCUUCAUAUGAUCACUAUACUUCAAUAAAAUAUUUUUUUUUGCAUGAUCAGUCAUAUUUUCAAAAUCAAUGCCAAAAUUUCGCAAUUUCUGCCAGGGUAUGCAAACAUUUGAGCACAACUGUAUAAAUACUGGCACAAACACAUAAGCACAGAUACACAAAUUGACAGAAUAUAGAUACAGAUAAGCACAAUGACAACAUACAGAUACACAGACACAUAUAAUGGCAGACAUACUGACACACACGCAGACACACACACUAAUAGACAUACUGACACAAACACUGAGAGACAUACUGGUACACACACACACACAUUAAACAUUUACACUUGAAAAGCCUUUAUGUCUCUCUGGGAGGAAGUGACUGGCUAUCACUUCCUCCAGUGCUGCUGAUGUGAAAUGGGCUGUUAAAUGAGCACAGAACCCAUCCAAAAAAUCCAGUCCUGCUGAUAAAUGCUCUUUGCCUGGCCCUAAAUGCAUGGGCCACCCUAUGGGCCUCCUUACAGUGUGGCGCCCAUAGAGUGGGCCCACUGCCCGUAACAAUUUCUUUUAGGAUUAGUGAUCCUAAAAGAAAUUGUUGCGGGCAGAGGGCAAGUGGGGCAGCUGCUUUGGGCCCAAGAUGAGUAAAUGGGCCCCGCUCACAACAAAAUGUAAUUCUCCUAUCUCUCAUUUAAAGUGUUUCAAGUGCUACUAGCAGUAGACAGCUAGGUGGAUACAACAGUAAGCUAAACCUAGUCUCACACUAGAAUCGAUGGCACAGGCUCCAUCUCCCACACAGACACAGCAAGUUUAAAAAACAGUAUCACUGGUGGUCUGUCUUCUUCAUUAGCUGCAGUCAGAGUACCUGGUGAAAAAUCCUUCUUGGAAGUAUAGAUUGUUUUACUGCUCCUCCUCUUGCCCCUCACCAUUUUUUGGGGGCAGCUUUGCGGUGACUCUUUUGCCCCUGUUAGAGUUUCUAACCGCUCCAACAACUGGGAAGGUUGAAUAAAAAUGUUACACUUUGCACUGUGUUACAUAGUUACAUAGCCUGAAAAGAGACAUGCGUCCAUCAAGUUCAGGCUUUUUAAACAUUUUUUUUUGCUGUUGAUCCAAAAGAAGGCAAAUAAACACAGUUUGAAGCACUUAAAAUUGUGCAACAAACUAGGAAAAAAAUCUUGUUUUCUUAUGAUUGUUUUUCUUCUUUUCAGACUAUAUUGCAUCUGGAGAAAUAAAAAAAAGUGUAUCUGAAAGAAUGCAGCAAC